rnacentral:rRNA from 3 species
GCGAUACCCGAAUGGGGAAACCCAGUGUGAUUCGUCACACUAUCAUUAACUGAAUCCAUAGGUUAAUGAGGCGAACCGGGGGAACUGAAACAUCUAAGUACCCCGAGGAAAAGAAAUCAACCGAGAUUCCCCCAGUAGCGGCGAGCGAACGGGGAGGAGCCCAGAGCCUGAAUCAGCAUGUGUGUUAGUGGAAGCGUCUGGAAAGGCGCGCGAUACAGGGUGACAGCCCCGUACACAAAAGCGCAUGUGCUGUGAGCUCGAUGAGUAGGGCGGGACACGUGGUAUCCUGUCUGAAUAUGGGGGGACCAUCCUCCAAGGCUAAAUACUCCUGACUGACCGAUAGUGAACCAGUACCGUGAGGGAAAGGCGAAAAGAACCCCGGCGAGGGGAGUGAAAAAGAACCUGAAACCGU